rnacentral:piRNA from 1 species
UUCUGUCAACAGACUAUCAGAAAUUUCAAAGC